rnacentral:rRNA from 1 species
UACGUAGGGUGCGAGCGUUAAUCGGAAUUACUGGGCGUAAAGUGUGCGCAGGCGGCUCCGCAAGUCGAGUGUGAAAUCCCCGAGCUUAACUUGGGAAUUGCGCUCGAAACUACGUGGCUCGAGUGUGGCAGAGGAAGGUGGAAUUCCACGUGUAGCGGUGAAAUGCGUAGAGAUGUGGAGGAACACCGAUGGCGAAGGCGGCAUCCUGGACCAACACUGACACUGAGGAGCGAAAGCCAGGGGAGCAAACGGG